rnacentral:rRNA from 1 species
ACUCAAAGGAAUUGACGGGGGCUCACACAAGCGGUGGAGGAUGUGGUUUAAUUCGAAGCAACGCGAAGAACCUUACCAGGUUUUGACAUUCCGGGAUUAAUCCGAUGAAAGUCGGAGGAUUACUGUCAAAGGUGUAACCGGAACAGGUGCUGCAUGGCUGUCGUCAGCUCGUGCCGUGAGGUGUUAGGUUAAGUCCUUUAACGAGCGAAACCCCUACGGUUAGUUACCAGCGCGUAAUGGCGGGGACUCUAGCCGGACUGCCGCGAAAGUAGGAGGAAGGUGGGGACGACGUCAAGUCAUCAUGGCCUUUAUAAUCUGGGCUACACACGUCCUACAAUGGGUGGUACAAAGGGUAGCGAAACCGCAAGGUGGAGCCAAUCCUCAAAAGCCAUCCUCAGUUCAGAUUGUGGGCUGCAAUUCGCCCACAUGAAGCUGGAAUCGCUAGUAAUCGCGGAUCAGCUACGCCGCGGUGAAUAUGUUCCUGAGCCUUGUACACACCGCCCGU